rnacentral:rRNA from 1 species
ACAUGAAGCCGGAAUCGCUAGUAAUCGCGGAUCAGAAUGCCGCGGUGAAUACGUUCCCGGGUCUUGUACACACCGCCCGUCACACCAUGGGAGUUGGAAAUGCCCGAAGUCAGUGGCCCAACCGGAAGGGGGAGCUGCCGAAGGCAGGUUCGAUGACUGGGGUGAAGUCGUAACAAGGUAUC